AUUGAACGCUGGCGGCAGGCUUAACACAUGCAAGUCGAGCGGAGAUGAGGUGCUUGCACCUUAUCUUAGCGGCGGACGGGUGAGUAAUGCUUAGGAAUCUGCCUAUUAGUGGGGGACAACAUUCCGAAAGGAAUGCUAAUACCGCAUACGCCCCACGGGGGAAAGCAGGGGAUCUUCGGACCUUGCGCUAAUAGAUGAGCCUAAGUCGGAUUAGCUAGUUGGUGGGGUAAAGGCCUACCAAGGCGACGAUCUGUAGCGGGUCUGAGAGGAUGAUCCGCCACACUGGGACUGAGACACGGCCCAGACUCCUACGGGAGGCAGCAGUGGGGAAUAUUGGACAAUGGGCGGAAGCCUGAUCCAGCCAUGCCGCGUGUGUGAAGAAGGCUUUUUGGUUGUAAAGCACUUUAAGCGAGGAGGAGGCUACCUGGAUUAAUACUCUAGGAUAGUGGACGUUACUCGCAGAAUAAGCACCGGCUAACUCUGUGCCAGCCGCCGCCGUAAGAC
rnacentral:rRNA from 1 species